GCAACUCGCCUACAUGAAGUCGGAAUUGCUAGUAAUCGCGGAUCAGCAUGCCGCGGUGAAUACGUUCCCGGGCCUUGUACACACCGCCCGUCACACCAUGGGAGUCGGUAACACCCGAAGCCUGUAGUCUAACCGCAAGGGGGACGCAGUCGAAGGUGGGAUUGAUGACUGGGGUGAAGUCGUAACAAGGUAGC
rnacentral:rRNA from 1 species